AACGCGAAGAACCUUACCUACCCUUGACAUCCUAGGGAUUUUGCAGAGAUGCAGAAGUGCCUUCGGGAACCUAGAGACAGGUGCUGCAUGGCUGUCGUCAGCUCGUGUUGUGAGAUGUUGGGUUAAGUCCCGUAACGAGCGCAACCCCUAUUCUUAGUUGCCAGCGAGUAAAGUCGGGAACUCUAAGGAGACUGCCGGUGACAAACCGGAGGAAGGUGGGGAUGACGUCAAGUCAUCAUGGCCUUUAUGGGUAGGGCCACACACGUGCUACAAUGGUCGGUACAAAGGGACGCCAACCCGCGAGGGGGAGCAAAUCUCAGAAAACCGAUCGUAGUCCGGAUUGGAGUCUGCAACUCGACUCCAUGAAGUUGGAAUCGCUAGUAAUCGCGGAUCAGAACGCCGCGGUGAAUACGUUCCCGGGCCUUGUACACACCGUACGUC
rnacentral:rRNA from 1 species